rnacentral:rRNA from 1 species
AAAUUAUAAUGCAGGAUUAAAUGAUAAUCUAAAGAGGUACAGCCCUUUAGAUACAGGAUACAACCUUAAAUGGAGAGUAAGUAUAAAAAACACUCAUAGUUGGCCUAAAAGCAGCCAUCAAUUAAGAAAGCGUUCAAGCUCAACAAUAUAUAUAUAUACUAUAAUUCCAAUAGCAUAACUAACUCCCAAACUUUAACUGGACUAAUCUAUAUAAAUAGAAGAAAUACUGUUAAUAUGAGUAACAAGAAUUGUUUCUCCCAGCACAAGUCUAUAUCAGAUCGGAUACCCCACUGAUAGUUAACAAACUAAUAAUAAUAAACCAAACAUAGAACACUUAUUACACAGAUUGUUAACCCAACACAGGUGUGCUAAAGCUAGGGAAAGAUUAAAAGAAGUAAAAGGAACUCGGCAAACAACAAACCCCGCCUGUUUACCAAAAACAUCACCUCUGGCAUUAAUAGUAUCAGAGGCACUGCCUGCCCGGUGACAUACGUUAAACGGCCGCGGUAUCCUGACCGUGCAAAGGUAGCAUAAUCAUUUGUUCUUUAAUUAAGGACUUGUAUGAAUGGCCACACGAGGGUUUAACUGUCUCUUACUUCCAAUCAGUGAAAUUGACCUUCCCGUGAAGAGGCGGGAAUAAUGAAAUAAGACGAGAAGACCCUAUGGAGCUUUAAUUAACUAACUCAAGAAAAUAAUAUUACAACCCGACAGGCAACAACACUACUAUAACUGAGCUAGCAAUUUCGGUUGGGGUGACCUCGGAGUACAAAAUAACCUCCGAGAGAUUUCAGUUAAGACCUACAAGUCGAAACCUGUAAAAAAUCAUAAUUGAUCCAAUUAACUUUGAUCAACGGAACAAGUUACCCUAGGGAUAACAGCGCAAUCCUAUUUAAGAGUUCGUAUCGACAAUAGGGUUUACGACCUCGAUGUUGGAUCAGGACAUCCCAAUGGUGCAACCGCUAUUAAUGGUUCGUUU